UACAGAGGGUGCAAGCGUUAAUCGGAAUUACUGGGCGUAAAGCGUGCGUAGACGGUAGCGUAAGUCGGGUGUGAAAGCCCCGGGCUCAACCUGGGAAUUGCAUUCGAGACUGCUCUGCUAGGGUGCGGAAGAGGAGCGCGGAAUUCCCGGUGUAGCGGUGAAAUGCGUAGAGAUCGGGAGGAAGGCCGGUGGCGAAGGCGGCGCUCUGGAACGUUUCUGACACUGAGGCUCGAAAGCGUGGGGAGCAAACAGGG
rnacentral:rRNA from 1 species